AUGCAAGGAUGGGUAUAUCUGUGGUAACUUCAGUAAUAGGACUUGAUAAGAAAUUUAAACGUUUACCUUUUUUCACAGCUUUUACAAUGUGUAGGGAAAGCAAUUUGUUCACCUCUUAGACCUUUAAGACUUGAUUUUCAUACAUCCUGAGCUCCCUUGGUUUCAAGUGCUAUCAAUUGGACAUUAAGGCUACUAAGUAUUCUACCAAUAAAUAACCUAAUCCUCCUCAGAGCUGCAUGUGAUACAUAAAGUAUAUUAUAUAUUAUAUAUUUUAUAGGAUUAUCUGUAUUUUCAAAGCUAAACCAGUGCAAAAAAUACUUCCAGCUUUUCAUGAUGUAAUCAGAACAUAAAAGAAAAAAAACUAACAUUGCUUUAUUUAUUGCUCAGAGCAAAUGCUUUUGUUUUGCCUUAACAAAACCAGUAUCUACAAUAUGCCAAUUAUGUCUUUUGAAUGACAGAGGGUUUCUACAUGCCAACUCCAUUUUGGUUCCUUCAAUUUUUCUUAGAGGGGUUAAUUUCCUUAUGUCACAUUUAUGGACAUAAGUUAUGGACAGAGCUGAACUCAGAGAAUGAACAGAUUAAUGUUUCCUUUUGUGAAAUUGUUAGAAGUUUUAGCCUUAUUUAAAAUUAUGUUUUUUUCCCCACGUUUCAAUUGUGCAGUUGUUUACAAUAUUUUCUGCCUUUGAGGAGACAGCUUGAGUCUGAAUCAGAUGACAGAAUGACUGGACAAUGUUUGUUCUGCUCUGGACGUUGCUAAGGGAGAGGCUGCAGCUGCUAUAGACCGGAGUGUUAAACCCACACUUGCUUCUUUUGUAGCCUCUGGAGCAUAAAAAAGCUUUUCCUACUGUGUAAAACUUCAGAAGAUCUUCCUCAAGCCAGCUUCCUUCCCACACCACAAGCACCACGUGUUAUUUUACACCGAGGCAACACUCAGCAACUGAGGUCUGUCUGUCCAUGGAAUGGAAAGGGAAAAGUCAGAUGACAGGAACACCAGAUGUGUGGGCAACAUGAGGACUAACAAUUACGGAGCAAUGUGCCUACAAACCAGUACUAAACUGCUACGUCUGGCCUUCUCUGAGCUUUGGCAUGAGCAUUAGCUGGAAAACUCUUCGCACUGACAGAAAAAGAGAUUUGAAGUAUUGUCUGGCUCGUAAGCACAGUCUGUUGUCUCACAUCUUGCAAAACGUAGAAAACCAUGUGCUUUCUGUCAGAGUCCCACAGCAAACCAUGUGGAAAACAAAGGGCUAUAAAUAACUCCUCAACAUGAAAGGUGACUAAUCUGCUGCUUCCAAUAAUAUCACCCCCCAAUCUCCAAAAUCCCCCAAUUUUCUUUACUUUACCUAUCUUUGUGCUGAAGCCACACUGUGGCACUCUUCUCUUUAGAGAUCUCAUGCUAAUUGUUGUUCUUUCAAUCCUCGAUGCUUGCAAAAAUACUAUUUUAAUCAAUUAAUAUGUCCAUUGUCUCUGUGGAAAGGUAGAUUUCAUAAAAGAGAAUGUAAUUGUAAAUGCUAGCUUUGGAGAGUGUGAUCCAGUGCUUGAGGUCUUCUUUGUAAUCCAGGGUACUGGUUUAAUUUACUAGUUCCUCAGCUGAUUAACUCAUCAUUUGCAUUCCCUAUGCCUUUAUUUCCCCUGUCAGACAUGGGGUGGGGCUGGGGAAAUGCAUAUUCAGCGCCUUGUUUGAAAUAAUAUAAUGCAUCUAAAAAAGAGUCAAAUGUUAUCCGUUGAUAAAAAAUACAAUAUAAGCACUAAAUGCUACCACCACAAAGCAGAGUGAGCUGCAACUGUGUUACAGAGCUUAAAAUCCAUACAGGUCUGGAAAAAUAAGCAGGGAAGGAUUUCCUCCAGCUGUCUCUUCUGUCACUCACCCUCUGUCAGCUAGGGGACAUGAAUCACCCACUCCUUCUUGAAUCUGCCCAACGUUUAAUGGAAAUAUGGUGCCAAAACCACUGUUGUCUUUACUAAGCAUAUGCUAAAGAUUUCAAAAGUGUGAUUUUGACUAACCUUGUAGUGAUUAAUAAGUAUUUUAAUUUUGUGCUGUAUUUUAGUGUGCUAUAAGCCAAAUAAUGACAGUCAAACUGAGCAAGAGAGAUGACUUCAUUUGUUGUUCAAAAAUAAAUUUUUCACAUUACCUAAGUCACAUGAUUAAUGGAAGUCACUUGCUGUAUUUUUAAAAGUUAUGUUCUUUUUCUCAACAGUAAUUUUUUCAGUAAUUUCUAUUCUUCCACUGUCACGUUUGAUUUCAAGUUAAGUUAAAAUCUCCUCUGGCAUAGGCAUCAUUUCAUCCUAAAGUUGUGCUCACUUACAGCCAAAAUAACAAUAGCAACAGUUACAAUUUUGUAAUGUGCUGAAACUCAAUGUCGUGUCAGAAACAGAAUUUCAUAAUUUUGGAGUAGUUUGUUAUUUUGAAUUUAUUAUGUAUUUUGAUAACCCCAGGGUGAGUCAUAGUAGGGAAGGCUGUUGAUGAAGUUGAUGAAGAAGUGAAAUCUUUAUGCUAUUCCACAUUUUCUUUUUGACUAUGGUUUUGUCUGUUUUGUUGGCAAGUUGUAAAAUAAGAAUUUGGGAGAGAAUAGCAGAAGAACAGUAUUCCACUGCAAGAAAGGUGUUUUCAUCUGUGAUUUUUCCUAGAUUUUUCUAACUGAUGUCACAGUUUUAAUUUGAAUUUGUGUAAAAAAUCUGUAGGUGUUUUUCUUGAUAAAUUCAUUUAAAAACUCAACAUUGGGAAAUCUUCCCUUUGUAUCUAGCAAUUCUAUAGGGAGUCUAUGCAUUAGUUUACAGUAGGGAAGUUAUACCUCAAUGGUCCAUGAAAAUAGGAAUCCAUAAAGCACAUAUUUCCAUAUAAAAAUAUUAAAUGUUUAUGACUUGAUAUAGAGAAAAUGUUGAUAAUGCUGAAGCUUUUGGCUAGCUUAAUCUCUUCCUUUUCUUGUGUUUUUCCAGGCCUCUCAGACUUCCUCCCUGACAUAGCUUAUCCUCGCUGUGUCAUCUGGAAUCCAGGAGUCCUCUGUAUUCAUAAUAUUUCAUUCCUCUGCAGUUCCUUGUCUCUGGCCAUCAGUGUCUCCCUGCCUCUAACCAUGGCCCCCCCUGCCUCUUUUUGUUCUCACCUGUGUUCUCCUGUUUUCCCGUGUUGUCACAUGCUUUCCAAACCCUAGCCCAUGCCUCCUUUUCCAUGUACCUGCUCAAAAUUGGUUUGUGGGGAGUCCGGUUACAGCACUGGAAAGCCAAAGCAUAGUUCAGCUCCAUAUACAGGCUUGGGAAUAAAGCCUGUUGUAACUAAGCACCCUAACAAAACAUUUUUGCAGUGCAAAUAAGUCCUCUGUGUGGGAGGCCAACAUUUUAAAUGCGCAGUGUAUCAUUUUAAAAUUCCCUUGGGACUCUAACCCUAAUAGACAGAUGUCUUAGACACUGGCAAUGUGUCUAAGUGACUUUUCACGGUGAUCUGUCCAGACAGCAUCUGCUCAGCUGUCUUUUAGCAGACCAGUACAGGACAGCAUCAAAUAUGUAUUUGAUGUAUUUCAUCCUAGCCUGGAUGAGGAGAACUCAGCCUGCUUCACCUGAAGCACCUCUGCAGGAAGAGCUAGGACAAAAAUCAGUGGCUUCAUUUUGACCCAAAGAGAUUCUUCAAGCUGCCCUACCGUGAUGACAGAAAGCUUCUGAAGGAAAAGAAUACUGAGAUUCCACAGGAACUCAUUAUGCGAGAAGCCUUUGGAGACUCUGCAUGAAGUGUACCCCGUGCCUCUGCCUUCACUUCAUACCAGUGAGCUGCAGGGACUUCACAGUUUUUUUUCUGGAUGGUUGCUUUCGUUCCACCAAUACAGUGCCCCACUCCUGCAAAAAGCCACAAGGAGCUACGGACUUAAGCACAGAUGAGAACACUGAUCAAUUAGGAAUACAGAAACCUAAAGUCACUUUUGGAGAAAUGAGGAUGAAGAUGUUUUGCGGCACGGGUAAGGUGAGAGGAGGUCCCUGUGCUUGGUUCCUGUUGCCUCAUCGCUGUUGCAACAAAAUCCCAGCUCUUGGCCCCAGCCCAUCGGACUCUGGCUGAGCCACACUGAUCUCUGCCUGCUCCCAGAACGUCACUGCAGCUGAGAAUUCAGCCACCAGCUGAGGAAAAGCUCCAUUCGAUGCACAGCAUGGUAGCUGCUGCCGCUUAGUGGCAUGAGCUACUGAGUGCACAUUUCAUCCACUGUGCUCCCCGUAUUGGCUUACGGCAGGAUACGAACUGAAACUGAAAUCCUGCAUUCCCGAAGUCAAAGCAAACCCAUUUGCUUCACUGAACCCAGAACACCACUAUGGAUCCCAAUACCCCCAAAUUCACAAUGUGGCUCAGUUCACCUAAGAAAGCAAUGGUAACCAUCACAGAUACGAUCUGGCAGCACAGGGAGCUGUGCUUUGGGAGGCAGUUGUUGAGGUAAUGGAAAGUGUCUGUGAAACACAGGAACCACAACUGCAGAACCAAAUGCCAACAGUUUUUCCUAUGAAAAUUUGCUUUCAGAAUUCAGUGCCCACUGUAAACAUUCUGCUUGCAAGUGAAAAAGAUAAAACUUCUCAAACUGCCUUUUCAACA